GACAUAAUCUCUUCUAAAAAUAGGACUUAACCACCCUUACGGGUUCAAACCAAACAAUUUACUUUACUCUUUUCAACCUUUCCAGCAUCACAUCAAUUCAGAAUCAAGCAAAAUUCAACAUUGAAUCAGCCAUAUAAUACUAAGGUUCAUCUUUAGUUUUAUAAACUCAUAACUCUUAAUCAAGCAUU